AACGAACGCUGGCGGCAUGCCUAACACAUGCAAGUCGAACGAGACCUUCGGGUCUAGUGGCGCACGGGUGCGUAACGCGUGGGAACCUGCCCUUAGGUUCGGAAUAACUCCCCGAAAGGGGUGCUAAUACCGGAUAAUGUCUUCGGACCAAAGAUUUAUCGCCUUUGGAUGGGCCCGCGUUGGAUUAGCUAGUUGGUAGGGUAAAAGCCUACCAAGGCGACGAUACAUAGCUGGUCUGAGAGGAUGAGCAGCCACACUGGGACUGAGACACGGCCCAGACUCCUACGGGAGGCAGCAGUGGGGAAUAUUGGACAAUGGGCGAAAGCCUGAUCCAGCAAUGCCGCGUGAGUGAUGAAGGCCUUAGGGUUGUAAAGCUCUUUUACCCGGGAUGAUAAUGACAGUACCGGGAGAAUAAGCGCCGGCUAACUCCGUG
rnacentral:rRNA from 1 species